rnacentral:rRNA from 1 species
UCGAUCGUAAGAUGAAUUUUGAUCUAUUUCGAGGAAUUAAAGCUCACUCUAAUCGAAACGGGUCAAUAUUCCCGUACUUUGUAUUUCUGCGAUGUAAUUACGGAGUAAGUUAGCUCACCGAGGUGUCGGUUGUCCUUGUUCAAGCGUGUAGAAAUGGCUCUUAGGAAAAUCCGGGAUCCUCUAUUUCAAGGCGUGAUAACGAGCCCUCUUUUGGGCGAAGUGAGUGAGACCAUGCUUCCAGGAAAAUCCUCUAAGCUUCAGGUUAUAUGAAACCGUACCCCAAACCGACACAGGUGGACGAGAUGAGAAUUCUAAGGCGCUUGAGAGAACUCGGGUGAAGGAACUAGGCAAAAUGACACCGUAACUUCGGGAGAAGGUGUGCUCUUGUUAUGUGAUAUCACUUGCUGAUUGAGCAAAGAAGAGCUGAAAAAACUAGGUGGCUGCGACUGUUUAUUAAAAACACAGCACUCUGCAAACACGUAAGUGGACGUAUAGGGUGUGACUCCUGCCCGGUGCUUGAAGGUUAAUUGAUGAGGUUAGCGCUUGCGCGAAGCUUUUGAUCGAAGCCCAAGUAAACGGCGGCCGUAACUAUAACGGUCCUAAGGUAGCGAAAUUCCUUGUCGGGUAAGUUCCGACCUGCACGAAUGGAGUAACGACGGCCACACUGUCUCCACCCGAGACUCAGUGAAAUUGAAAUUGCUGUUAAGAUGCAGUAUACCCGCGGCCAGACGGAAAGACCCCGUGCACCUUUACUACAGCUUUGCAUUGAACUCUGAUCCUACUUGUGUAGGAUAGGUGGGAGGCUUUGAAGCUUUAACGCUAGUUAGAGUGGAGCCACCCUUGGAAAUACCACCCUGGUAUGGUUGGGGGUUCUAACCUUGGUCCGGUAAUCCGGAUCGGGGACAAUGCAUGGUGGGUAGUUUGACUGGGGCGGUCUCCUCCUAAAGAGAGUAACGGAGGGAGCGCAAAGGUAUUCCUCAGCACGGUCGGACAUCGUGCAAUGAGCGCAAAGGUAAAAGGAUGCUUGACUGCGAGACUGACACGUCGAGCAGGUAGGAAACUAGGUCUUAGUGAUCCGGUGGUUCUGAGUGGAAGGACCAUCGCUCAACGGAUAAAAGGUACGCCGGGGAUAACAGGCUGAUACCCCCCAAGAGUUCACAUCGACGGGGGUGUUUGGCACCUCGAUGUCGGCUCAUCACAUCCUGGGGCUGAAGCAGGUCCCAAGGGUAUGGCUGUUCGCCAUUUAAAGUGGUACGCGAGCUGGGUUUAGAACGUCGUGAGACAGUUCGGUCCCUAUCUACCGUGGGCGUUGGAGACUUGAGGGAAGCUGUUCUUAGUACGAGAGGACCGGAAUGGACACACCUCUGGUGUUUCGGUUGUCACGCCAGUGGCAUUGCCGAGUAGCUAUGUGUGGAAAGGAUAACCGCUGAAAGCAUCUAAGCGGGAAGCCCCUCCCAAGAUUAGGUCUCCCUGAUUAUUUAAUAAUCCUAAAGAUCCCUCGAAGACUACGAGGUUGAUAGGCUAGGUGUGAAAGUGCAGCAAUGUAUUGAGCUAACUAGUACUAAUUGAUCGUGAGGCUUGACCAU